UUGGAAUUUGGGCUUUUUUCUCCGAGUGAUUAACGCUUUGGAGGGGGUUUUGCAAUUUGGGGUUUUUUCUCUGAGUGAUUAACGCUUUGGAUGGGGUUUUGCAACUUUCUGUGAGAUGCAGCGGCAGAGGUAGCAGGUGGCGGACACAACACAAAGAAAUCCAAGAAAGAAAAAUCCCACUGCUUGUAUUUGAAGACGAUUGCUUAUAACAAAUUUUCAUUUGCAAAGAUUUGGCCGAUGGCUGUCCAGUUUAAAUACGGCAGUUAAAUAUUGACCGGCAAGGCGAAUUUUGGAGUCGGCAAUUGGCAUGGCUCCAAAAGAUAUGGUGUGACAUAAGAAGAUAUAUUUAAGAAGUACGUCGAGAUAGAGCUGCAACUUGGUAAUAUAGAACGAUGCAGGAAGCUGUAUGAAAAAUACUUGGAGUUCUCCCCAGAGAACUGCUACGCAUGGAGCAAGUUUGCUAUGUGGGAGAGAUCCUUUGCGGAAAUUGAACGAGCCAGAGCUCUUUUUGAGCUUGCAAUUGAUCAACCUGCGCUAAACAAAAGGCAUAUAUUGACUUUGAAACAUCUAAUGCUGAAUAUGAAAGACGAGAGGCUUUUGAAUCGCACAAAACAUUUGAAGGUGUGGAUUAGUUAUGCCAAGUUCAAGGCAUCUGCUAUGGAUGAGGGCUUGCAGGAGUCAGACUUGCGGGGAAGUGAUUAUGAACAAAAGAUAAAAUGCCUUCAGCGACAGAUAGUGCUGUUCUAGGAGCAAAGGAUUUGCUUAAGCGAUCACAUGGCAUCGAUUAUUUGCACAGUUGAAGCAAGAAAGGCAGGAUAGAGCAAGGCUUCAAGGCAAAAGUUAUGCUGAGGUGAUCCCGUUACUUAUAUGCAGUAUGUGUUGUAGUUUUAGUUUGUGAUCUUCUAGAAGGUAAGUUUCGCAGUUCUCAUAUGUACAAAAAUUUUCUAUGCUUAAAUUCAUCUAUUCUUUUAGUUUCUUUAGCUCAUCAUUUCUAAUUAAUACAUGCUGAUAAUAGAAUAAGAUUAGAAAGAGGUGCAAAGCUGUACAAAAAUAGUUACUUGUUUCAGAAAAAUAAAUGAAGAUAUGAGUGACUUGUGCUCUGUACAGGUUAUGAGAUAUUACUCCUAUUGCAUUAGAUUGACUUGAAUGACAAUCUUUCUUGUAAUAAAUUAACAAGAAAUUAGAGCCUAUUAUUCAUUGUGACAAUAGAAUUAGAUCAGUCAGGGAAUUGCUCUGUUGGAAUGUGGAUAUGUGGGGAUUCAAAAUUUCUAUUUAGGGGUUGACAUUUUUAUUGAACACCGAUCUUGUGAAGGAUGUGUCUUGAGAAAAAUAUGCGAAUUAUCUUGUGGUAGCACUUGAAUUUUCUGAAUGUUGUCUUGUUAUAUCCUUUAGAUUAAUAGGAUAUUUUGGUAUAAGUCGUGAUAAGUAGGAGAAACAAGCACUAGUGGCAUAUAAAAAAAAAUAAGUUGUGUGAAGUGUGUUCCAUUGACUGCAUCAAAUAAACAGUGUUCAAGAAUCAACACAAAAGCCCUUUGUGUGAGCUUUUGUACCUAAGCACUUCCAUUUAAAUAGUGCUGCUGCAUCUCUUUUGAUUGAGGGCAUCAAACAUAGUGUGUCCAUUCUAGAACUUGCUUGUGUAAUACAUUUUGAGUCCACAUUCUUGUAAGAUUGGUGUAUGAAAGUGAUAAGGGCACUUAGGAAAACCCCAUUAACCUGAAAACAGCCUACCUUGACUUCACGCUUAGAAAAACUCAUUUGAGCCUUGGCUUUUCUUUUCUUGGUUAAACCACAUGAUAAGCCAAAUUAUCCCCUUCUUUGUUAUUUCCUCAAGUGACUUUUGAACCCAUUCAAGGGAUGUUGUUGGCUUGGUUGCUUGUAAAUUGACAUGAAAAUGAGUGAAUGAAAUGAUUCAAGUAGUAUACAAGGGUCGCGUUCCUAGCCCCAAGGAAAAGAAAGAAAGAAAUGAUCAAACAAAAAAGAAAAGAAAAGAAAAGAAAGAAGAAGAAAAAAGAAAAGAA